AUUGAACGCUGGCGGCAAGCCUAACACAUGCAAGUCGAACGAGUGGCGGACGGGUGAGUAAUGUCUGGGAAACUGCCUGAUGGAGGGGGAUAACUACUGGAAAAGGUAGCUAAUACCGCAUACCCUCGGAUGUGCCCAGAUGGGAUUAGCGAGUAGGUGGGGUAAAGGCUCACCUGGGCGACGACCCCUAGCUGGUCUGAGAGGAUGACCAGCCACACUGGAACUGAGACACGGUCCAAACUCCUACGGGGGGCAGCAGUGGGGAAUAUUGCACAAUGGGCACAAGCCUGAUGCAGCCAUGCCGCGUGGAUGAAGAGGGCCUUCGGGUUGUAAAGUACUUUCAGCGGGGAGGCGGUACCCGAAGAAGAAGCACCGGCUAACUCCGUGCCAGCCGCCGCGGUAAUUC
rnacentral:rRNA from 1 species